GCCUCUGUAGGCCAAGUGGUAAAGCACUGGUCUUGUAUACCAGGGGCUGUGAGUUCAAUCCUCACAGGAGGCA